AGAGUUUGAUCAUGGCUCAGGAUGAACGCUAGCUACAGGCUUAACACAUGCAAGUCGAGGGGAAACGACAUCGAAAGCUUGCUUUUGAUGGGCGUCGACCGGCGCACGGGUGAGUAACGCGUAUCCAACCUGCCCACCACUUGGGGAUAACCUUGCGAAAGUAAGACUAAUACCCAAUGACGUCUCUAGAAGACAUCUGAAAGAGAUUAAAGAUUUAUCGGUGAUGGAUGGGGAUGCGUCUGAUUAGCUUGUUGGCGGGGUAACGGCCACCAAGGCGACGAUCAGUAGGGGUUCUGAGAGGAAGGUCCCCCANAUUGGAACUGAGACACGGUCCAAACGUCCUACGGGAGGUCA
rnacentral:rRNA from 1 species